ACAGGGUUUCUCUGAAUCACCUGACCUUGAGUUUGAAUAUUCAGACAGUGAUAAAUGGGCAGCAGAACUUUCAGAACUCUAUAGCUACACAGAGGGCCCUGAGCUUCACUUGAAUAGAAAAUGCUUUGAAGAAGAAUUCAAGACUCAUGGCACCAGGGAGACAAGACACCAACUUGGAGUCUCACUCGUGGCCGCAGAAAGACCCAUCUGUGUCCCUUACUGGAGAGUCCUCUUUCCCAGUUGCUUGCUUGGGAACAUGACCGGU